GGAUUAGAUACCCUGGUAGUCCACGCCGUAAACGAUGGAUACUUGUUGUUGGAGGUAUUGACCCCUUCAGUGACGUAGCUAACGCGUUAAGUAUCCCGCCUGGGGAGUACGGUCGCAAGAUUAAAACUCAAAGAAAUUGACGGGGGCCCGCACAAGCGGUGGAGUAUGUGGUUUAAUUCGAUGCAACGCGAAGAACCUUACCUAGGCUUGACAUGCACUGGAAGAGUGGCAGAGAUGUCCUCGCCCGCAAGGGUCGGUGCACAGGUGCUGCAUGGCUGUCGUCAGCUCGUGCCG
rnacentral:rRNA from 1 species